CCCCAAAGGUAACCACCAGUCCAAUCUCCAAUGCUAUGUGUUUUUUUUAUUCUUUGUGUUGUUUUUAUCUUGUACUUAUGAGUGAGAUCAUAUGCUAUUUGACUUUCUCCCUCUGACUUAUUUUACUCAGCAUAAUACCCUCAAGGUCCAUCCAUGUUGUCACAAAUGGCCGGAUUUCGUCAUUUCUUAUGGCUGAGUAGUAGUCCAUCGUGUAUAAAUACCACAUCUUCUUUAUCCAUUCGUCCCUUGAUAGGCACCUAGGUUGCUUCCAUGUCUUGUCUAUUGUGUAUAAUGCCACAAUGAACAUAGGGGUGCAAGUAUGUUUAUGCCUUUGUGUUUUCAAGUUCUUUGGAUAAAUACCCAGCAGUGGAAUAGCUGGAUCAUAUGGUAGAUCUAUCCUUAAUUUUCUGAGGAUACUCCAUACUGCUUUCUAUAGUGGCUGCACGAGUGUGCACUGCCACCAGCAGUGAACAGGUUCCCUUCUCUCCACACCCUCUCCAAACUUUGUCGUUUCCUGUCUUGUUAAAUUAUAGCCGGGACCCAACAGGAGAGAAGAGAAUGGCACGACAUACUUAAAGUGCUAAAAGGAAAAAACCUACAACCAAGAAUACUCUAUCCAUCAAGGUUGUCAUUCAGAAUGGAAGGAGAGAUAAAGAGCUUCCCAGACAAGCAAAAAUUAAAGGAGUUUAUCACCAACAAACCAGUUCUGCAAGAAAUGCUGCAGGGACUUAUUUAAGUGGGAAAGCAAUGACCACAAAUAGAGAUAACAAAAAAUUAUCAAAAAAACCCAAAACAACAACAACAAAAAACAGGCAAUAAAAUCACUUGUAAGGUAAAAAUAUGGUAAAGGCAACAGAUCAACUACCUGUGAAGAUAAUAUGAAGGUUAAAAGACAAAUGUACUAAAAUCACCUAUUUCAAUGAUAAGAGGGUAAUGGAAAGACACACACUAAGCAAAAGACUACAUAUGAUGUGAAAAACAUAUAAUGUGGGAGGGGGGAGUGGAAAAGUAGAGAUUUUAGAAAGAGGUCAAGCUAAAGAGUCUAUCUACUCUAUAUAGACUGUUAUAUGCAUAGUAUAUUAAAUAGGAUCUUCAUGGUAACCACCAGUCCAAUCUCCAA
rnacentral:lncRNA from 1 species